GCCGCGGCUCAUCAAGUCCAUCCCUUCCCGCGCUCCCCGCAGGUUUCCCGCAGACAGUCGCACAGUACCCCUCACUCCACUUAAUUCGCUCCGCGUGCUCUGAAUCACAGAAAGGCAAACUUGCUAACAAAGAGGCGGCCCGCCCGCGUGCGGGGUUCCCGGGCGCGUCCCGCUGGCCAGGUGAGGACGGCGGGCACUGGGCACCGCAGCGGGGCGCGGGGCGGGCUGGAGGCGCGCGGACACUCCCCCGGCCGGCAAGGAAGGGGCGGGCCGAGGCGCGGGCCGUGUGCCGCUGGGUGGCCCUGCGAGCCGCCGCUCUCCGCCUCUCUAGGCUCAGCUUCCAUCACCGCGUGGCGGAGCCCGUGUCCGGGCCAGCCACCCAGCCCCACGGUGGGCCUUGCCUCGUCUGUUAGGUGGUAUUUUCAUCUUUGGUCAGAUGACAGCCCCCAUGCUCCAAAAAUUCUCCUGCAGCCAGGGCUUGGAGAAUCCCGACCCCUCUCUGGCAUGAACCUCUCCUCAUCCAGGGUGGCUUGUGUGGUAGAGCCAGGGGAAUGGAGAAGAUGACCUCUGAAGCCUGAAGGCUCUUUGGGAAGCAGGACACAAACAUCCUGAAGAGCCAGCCUUGAGCUGGCUGCACAAGAGACUCAUAGACUUUGCGUCAACAUCCACCUCUCCAGGCUGCAGUGGGUGUACCUGUUCACCACCACCUCCAGCAGCACUGUCGCAGCGGAGCAGUUCUUACAGCCAAUGAGCUUCCACACCACCUCCCUGCAGUUCUCUGCAACCGAGGCUCCAUCCUGCACUGAUGGGCUGCCUGACACGUCGGCCUCAACAAGCAUUUCCAGCACAUUCUCAGCUUUCCUGCUCUGCUGGGCAAAACACAGGGUGAGAAGGGGAGAGGAAGAACGGGACUGUGGCCCAGUUCUAGGCUUGGAGUCUAGCGAGGAACACCAGGUGCCUGCAUUAAAAGGAUGGUUGGAGAGACAAAAGAGGAAAAUGAAUGCUUCCACGAAGCUCCCUCUUUGUGGCAGAAUCAGUCCAAUGGAGAAAUUCUGAAAUUCCAGUUUUACAAAGUUCUUCAAACUUACCUCAAGGAUGGCACCAGCUGAAGCUCAGUUGCCCUGUCUCUUAUGCACCAGUGCAUCUGCCCCAGAAACUCUUAUCUGGGGCUCAGUUUGCCCCCAUGUGGUAUAAGUCCCUCCAAAGAUUCCAUUUCUAGUUACUCGUCUCAAUGUCACAAUGAGAAAUAUUUCUGCAUAUUUCCUGCAAAGCGUCUCAUUAAAGAAAGUAUUGGUUUGAUUCAGAAAAUGCUAUGCUGUUCCAGCUUCACUUUGGAUCUAUAGUUUUAGAAAGUAUCCAACUCUGCUUCUAGUUUAAGCUGCCCUGUUAAAGAGUUAAUGGAAAAAACCCCACUAUGGUAUGAGGAAGGGGUGGGAAUUAACGUUUGGGUCCCAUUCUGUGCCUAAAACACUGGUUCCCUCUAUGUUUUGAGCCUGAAAUUGAGUCGUUCUUAUGGAAGGCAGAUGCUAGAGGAGCUUUCUUUGGGAUUCUCAUUACCCGUUUCCAUCAGACCAGGCCAUUAGAUGGUUGCUUCUAGAAGGAUGGUGCAGCCCUGAGUCUGCAGGGGGCAGACCGGUCACAAAAACCAGAGUGGAGCUGGGGGUCAGACUGGAGUUCAUUGGGUAGGUUCAGUUCACACCCUGGUGCACAGGGUCCACGAAGGCACAACAAGGCACAGGUGAGAGCCAGGAGGGCAAGCAGGGAUCCAAGUGUACACAGCCCAGGGAGCAAGACAAGCAGAGAGGCCUGGAGCCAGAAGGAGGCUCGGAAACAACGAUGCCAGCAGUGAGCUCACGGGUCAGAAGCUUCUGGCCCAAGGCUUUAUGGAGGCCAUGCCUGAGCUGAAUAUUGGUGGCUGAGCAGCCAAUAAACGGAACACAGAUGGGGCCAGGGCAGGGAAUUCCAGGCAGGAGGAACAGCCAGAGAGCAAAGGCAGGGAGGCUGGAAGCUUUGCUGUGUGAGGAUCUGUGUACACACAGGGAAUGCUUCACAGGCUGUAGAGACAGUGACUAGCUUCUGAGAUCAGAGUAGGCUGGGCUGAGUAAUGGGAAGGGUGGAGGGGGCAGAGACCCACAUUACAGCCCGUGGCCCUGAACCCAGGACAAGCCACGGGGGUGGAGGAGCAGGCAGGAGAUGCUCCACCACUGCUGGCAAGGAGCAGGGCAGCCUGCCCAAGGGGGUACUGCCUGGAGCAUCACUGACUUACCCCAUCUGCUGGCGAGGAUACAGAAGCUCAGCCCACAGGGCCACCAUGGAUGGCCCUAAAGGUUGUGUCCUAUGCAAGGGGACCACAGAAGGCUGGUGCCCUGGACAGUUGGCAAGAGGCUGAGCGCAGGGCAGUGAGGGAUGCUCGUGUGCCUGGGGAAAGCUUCCCUGGGCUUCCCUUUUUUUUCUCCAUCUUCACCCUCUCACCCCUCACCCCUCCUGACACCCUGUCCCUUGGGGGAGCACCUAACACCCCUGUGUCCACCUGAACCACACCAGCCCUAACGUGCUGAAUCCCCGCUAAAUGAGCCCAGUGCUCAUCCAUCCAUCCGCGCAUCCGUUGUUCAGUGGGGAAAGUAGCACGUAGCAGGUCCGAGCACAGGCUCUGCAGCCAGAAUUCCUGGGUUCCAUGCCUCACCCAGCCACGUAUUUGCUGUGUGACCUCAGGCAAGCUACUUAGCUUCUCCACGCACGUGUGCUCAUCUAGAAAACGAGGCUGAUGCUCGUGCCCACGUGGCAAUGUGAUGAGUAAUGCUAGUACUCAUCUCUGAGGGUGGAUGGGAGAGACACGCAAAGUGUUUGCAAGGGGGCCGGCACCUGGGAGCACUCAUACAUGUUGGCUGUCACUGUCAUGGAGCACCACCGUGUGCCGGGCUCUGCUUGGUGCUCCUGGGCUGCUCACAUGAGCAAGGUGCUGACUCUGCCAAGGAAGGGUGCUUUUUUUUUCUUUUGGAGAAAGAAAAGGGAUGCUUUCUGCUGCUCCCGCCCUGAAAACACUGCGUGCCCCUCUGCUCUUCUCCUACUAGGCUUGAGAAGCAAGACCAGCACACCCUGAGUUGGGGUGUUGCCUCCUAAGCCACUGGCCAGCAAUUCUGGGGGGGGGGGUGGGGACGCUGAAGAGAAUGCGGGGCUCUGCUGGUGCAGCAUGGACCCUCCUUGGUCUGGUGAGCUGGGAGAAGCAGGACAGCAUGGGGUCCAGUGAUACUAACCGUGUGGAAAUAGAACUCCUCCAGAUUACAGGGCACCUGAGAAUUUCUUACUGACUUUUGUUUAAUAAUUCAAAAACACAUCAAAUCAAACUUAAUCAAGGCAAAAGCUGUCUCUGGAGCCUUCUUCGUGCUUCCUGGAGUCAAGCUCUUACAGAAUCACGGCAGCACCCCCCUCCCUAGCUCACGAAGGAAGCUGGAGGACUCCACAGCUGCUUCAGGAAACAGACUGUCCCCAGGGAACCCUUCAGAGAUCUUGGGACCAGACAGGAUGUACCUGGACUCCUGGAAUUCCCUCUCCAGCCUCCAGGUCCCGUGAGGAUGUGAGCUGGAGCAGUACGGGCUUCCCUGAUCCUUCCUGUGUCCAGACAGCCAACAUGUGCCGCGGGAGCCCUGAGAUGAUUCCGAUGCACGGAGGGAGCCGGGAAACGCUGGUAUUUCUGCCUGUCACUUAUUAUCUGGUUGAGCUGGUGGCGGGAGUCCCGGCCCAUGUGUGUUACCAGAGGGAUGGUCUAGAGAAUGAAUCCAUCUGUCAGAGGCAUCCAAGAAGAAAGGCCUGGGCCAGGAUCACAUGGAAGACCCUGAAGACAGGAUCGGGUCUUGCCUGCCUGGAUUGAACAGAGACGCAGUGACCAGUCCCAUCUGCUCCCACCCUGCUGCCCUCUGAAUCGAGAGUUUGAGGCCAUGACCAGGGUAACGUUCAGCUGGUAGAGACAACACAACCCUGCUGGCUGUUUAAGCCAUGCUGGAGUGGUGCUCACAGGGUAACAAUUUUCAAGUGCUACGGAUGCAAUAGCUCAGCGACUGGCAGCGCAGCACGUACCUGCUGUCGUGGGAGGUGAGAGCCACCAGUGCCCGACAGCGGCUGCAAGGCAGUGGUGGCGCUCUGCAGCCAGCCGGCCCACCCCUCCAACAUCUGCAAGGGGGUGGGAGGCUGCCUCACCAAGCUACCUGCUACUCAUGGGGGCGAUGGGCAUCAGGGUGGCCUGCCUGGAGCCCCGAGAGCACAUAGAAGCUGCCAGAUGAGGGCAGUGAGGCCGAGGGCCGGCAGUAGGGCUGCAGAUGCCCUGAGCCCUAAGGUCAAGGUGGAUGGAACUGCUGUGUAAGUCUGAUGCCGAGGAGACCAGGUCGUUGGGCUUUCAGCCCUGCGGCCGCCAAGUCUCAGGUUAGAGCUCCCUCUCGCGGCCGAUGCUGGGCACUACAUUGCCCAAGACCCAGGUGGGCCGAAGUCUUGAGAAAGGGCUCGCAGUCAUCGUCGCCAGCAGGCAGACACCAGGCACCUACCUCCCCGACAUACCCAGCCUGGUACCUCGAAGACCAGUAGCCUUGAGCUACACUUGGGAUUCCCAAUACAGUUUCAAAACCGUCUAGCUCAUCUUUCAGGAACCUUCCAGGGUUCACAUUCUGAUUUUUCAGUAAGGUUCUCACCUCUGUGACCAAUUACCUUGAGACUGAUGUCCUGCACCAUCCUGGAGUGUUGGGAUCUGCAGGUCGUGAAAAGGGAAACCAAGCAAUCACUUUGGAAUGACUUCCUGGAACUUCCCUGGCCCCUCCUUCGUGUUCUCUGAUGACAGCCAGGAGCUGACUCAGAAACCUCAUAAGAAGCUGAAGGCAUGACGACUUCCCUGUUAAAAAAAAAAUGUCCCACGUGUGGCCGAGUGCCACACCCAGGCAGCUGCCGAAAAAAAGCACCAGACACCAUGCAGCUGGGCCCCAGGGCCCGGCCCAACCCGGUUGGCCUUCUCCGGCACCUGCAGGGAACUUGUCCUGUCUUGUCUCUGCUCGCCCCCUGCUGGCUGCCUGGAGCCAUUCCGUGCUGGUUUCUUCGCGUCUUCUGUCAGGAGAGAGAUGCUGAUGCUUACUCAGGGAUCCGGCGGCUGUGACCCUGAGGCCCCGAGGUGGAUUAACAGAGCCCUCAGCACCGAGUCUCCAAGCUGAAGGCAGUGGUCACACUCCCUGCUGCCCUCCAGGUUUGGAGGGAUGGAGAGGAGAGAGGAGGGGAAGAAGCUACCUUCUUCACUAGCCUUGCUGAGAGACAAGUGGGUACGGCCCACAGGCACCUCCACCAGCCUGCCCUCUACAUCCAGAUUCGCAAG
rnacentral:lncRNA from 1 species